UCGCAUUGGCCGCCAGCGGAGCGCAAAGUGCGAAUCACGUGACACAUCUUUGUUCAGUCUAGUCUAAACAGGGGAACAAAGAAGGGAGACAACUUUCACGGAGAAGAAAAUGGCGCCAGAACACUAAUAGGAAGGCAUGAGAGUUGGCGAUUUUAGUCCUGUGGAAAUGUGAAAUGGUGCCAGCCCUUGCAUAUAUCUUCUACCUUCAAUCAACUUCAAGUAUCUUCUGUUAGCGUUGUGAAACAUGACAUUGGCAGAUGGUGCUGGAUUGAAAGGAGAGAAGAUAUACAAUGCUGAAAUUUCUAGUACUGGUAAUACAGGAAAUUUCAAAGAAGUUUUACCAAUUCUAAGGAAAAUAAAAGAAAUCUAAUGAACUUAGAAGAUGGAAAAUUGUUGCUAAAUAUCAGUUUGGAUUGAAGAAAGGUGUGAAAGUGAACAAUUCUGAAAUUUUCAGGAGCACAAAGUUUUAAACCAAUUUUACUGAGGAGACUUAUAGGUAAUCUGACGGCAGUUUGGAGAUCAACAGUCAUGAGUAAGAGUGAUUACCAGAAAGUUUAUACAAAGACUAACAGACUAUAUGGCUUAUUAUAAAUUAAAUCUAACAAAAACUUGACACACAUCAGACAAUUACAUGUAUAAAUGUACAGUACAAUAUCCAAAAAUAGACAGAAAAUCAAAAAAGUGUUCCAGGAACAUCAAAGAACAAUAUUUCUCCUGUUUAGGGAAGGAAAAAAGUAGACUUGCCUCCACAGUGAAUUCAGCUAUAUUAAACACUAGCCUAAAAAAAGACAAAAAUUAAAAGGAAGCUUGUUACUAGGAUUAAACAUGCAAGUUAUUUUCCAUAAACAAAUGUUUAAAAAUACAGAUACACUAAUUCAAAUGAAUGUUAUUUCAGAGACUUUGACCAUCUUAAUUAAAUACAUAUGUGGUGCUAGUUAGUGUUUUUGUGCUCUUUAUAAACUGUUUAAUAUAAAAUUUAAAUUAGUAGAUAUCUUUUGCUUCCAGUAAAUAUGUAAAAUACUUUAAUAAAGCUUUUUAAAACGUA